GGGGGGAUGUUCUCACUGUUCAAGCGGGACGCCUCGCUUGAGUGUGACUCAGCAGGAAAGCAUUGCUUAAGGGCGGCCUGGGGGGGGCUAAAGUGCUCCUGCAUUCCCGCCCCUGCCUGCAUGUUGAUGGGUGACAUCGGACUGCGAUGAGAGAGAGACUGACCUGUGGAUGGAAACCUGAAAACCCAGAGGACAAGGAGAACAUGCCAACCGUACACAUACAGAAAGGAGGUGGGGACCGGACCCCAGGCCCCUGAAUGCCCGAGGCAGUCACCGAGCCACCACACGAAAACAAACUGCCAGAGGGAUCUGUCACGAGUGCAGAGGAUCCAAAGUACGCCAUGUCCUGCAAGCCUGGCCUGCCGUUUUUAUCGUAACACAGUAAAGGGUCUGUUUUUGCUGGGAUUCUUGGUCCAAUGAAUUUGACAUCUUUACCAGCCUAAAAUCAAAGAUGUAUUAACAAUGUUUAAAGGAGAAUCCAAACAAUUUCUAAGACAUACAGUUUAAUCUUCAAUAAAUUUUGCUUUCAAAUGUUCAAA